rnacentral:rRNA from 1 species
CCUACGGGAGGCAGCAGUGAGGAAUAUUGGUCAAUGGGCGCUAGCCUGAACCAGCCAAGUAGCGUGAAGGAUGACUGCCCUAUGGGUUGUAAACUUCUUUUAUAUAGGAAUAAAGUGAAGCACGUGUGCCUUUUUGCAUGUACCUUAUGAAUAAGGAUCGGCUAACUCCGUGCCAGCAGCCGCGGUAAUACGGAGGAUCCGAGCGUUAUCCGGAUUUAUUGGGUUUAAAGGGAGCGUAGGUGGGUUGUUAAGUCAGUUGUGAAAGUUUGCGGCUCAACCGUAAAAUUGCAGUUGAUACUGGCAGCCUUGAGUACAGUUGAGGUAGGCGGAAUUCGUGGUGUAGCGGUGAAAUGCUUAGAUAUCACGAAGAACUCCGAUUGCGAAGGCAGCCUACUGGACUGCCACUGACGCUGAUGCUCGAAAGUGUGGGUAUCAAACAGGAUUAGAUACCCCAGUAGUC